ensembl:snoRNA SNORA63 Small nucleolar RNA SNORA63
AAGCAGGAUUCAGACUACAAUAUAGCUGUUAAGUGCUGUGUUGUCAUUCCCCCUGCUCAAAUUAAAGUUGCUUCUUAACUAUACCCAUCUGCUAUUCUGUAGCAGCCAGGGAUGCUUGGUCACAUACAU